rnacentral:rRNA from 1 species
GAGUUUGAUCCUGGCUCAGGACGAACGCUGGCGGCGUGCCUAAUACAUGCAAGUCGAACGCACGAAGUUGAAGAGCUUGCUCUUUAACCAAGUGAGUGGCGGACGGGUGAGUAACACGUGGGUAACCUGCCCAUUAGAGGGGGAUAACAUUCGGAAACGGAUGCUAAUACCGCAUAGUUUCAGGAAUCGCAUGAUUCUUGAAGGAAAGGUGGCUUCGGCUACCACUAAUGGAUGGACCCGCGGCGUAUUAGCUAGUUGGUGAGGUAAUGGCUCACCAAGGCAAUGAUACGUAGCCGACCUGAGAGGGUGAUCGGCCACACUGGGACUGAGACACGGCCCAGACUCCUACGGGAGGCAGCAGUAGGGAAUCUUCCGCAAUGGACGAAAGUCUGACGGAGCAACGCCGCGUGAGUGAAGAAGGUUUUCGGAUCGUAAAACUCUGUUGUUAAAGAAGAACAAGGAUGAGAGUAACUGCUCAUCCCCUGACGGUAUUUAACCAGAAAGCCACGGCUAACUACGUGCCAGCAGCCGCGGUAAUACGUAGGUGGCAAGCGUUGUCCGGAUUUAUUGGGCGUAAAGCGAGCGCAGGCGGUUCUUUAAGUCUGAUGUGAAAGCCCCCGGCUCAACCGGGGAGGGUCAUUGGAAACUGGAGAACUUGAGUGCAGAAGAGGAGAGUGGAAUUCCACGUGUAGCGGUGAAAUGCGUAGAUAUGUGGAGGAGCACCAGUGGCGAAGGCGACUCUCUGGUCUGUAACUGACGCUGAGGCUCGAAAACGUGGGGAGCAAACAGGAUUAGAUAC